rnacentral:misc_RNA from 1 species
AAUUAUUCGUCAGUGACACCACGAAAAGACACCAAAGCUAAAAAUCGCCAUUUUCACCUUUUUCGAUAUUGUGUUUAAUGUACACUCGCAAAAAGACAGCAUUCGGGGGCCUUUCGAGAGGCAUGCUACUAAAAGGAUCUUUCUAUGAUAAUAUGCCUAUUUCUUCCAGAUUUUGUGCCGGUCAGGUCAAGCACCCACUUCCCAGAACGCAACUCCUUAAGGCCAACUCAGACAGCGUCGGCCGACGCAGCCGACGCUGUCUGAGUUGGCCUUUAGGAAUUUUUUUUUCUUAUAAAUUUAAAAAAAAAAUUGCCAUAAUUACAUGCUAAAACCUACGAACAGUGGAAAAUAGCUUGACCAUGGUGAGUGGGCACCGCGGCUUGGGACAACGCUAAUUUCGAGUGCUGAAAGUUGAACUCAACGUACAUUUUUACCAAAAGCGAUAAAUUUACGUGACCGAUAAUGCAAGUUUAUUAAAGUAUGACUGGGCAUGCGUUAUUUAUCUCACGUAAAUAAUAUCGUUUACUGAUUUGUUUACGGCCACGUAAAUAAGCCGAUAUCCACUUCCUUAAUUUAAUAACACAACCUCGGUUGAGCCUACAUUAAGAUCGUAUGGCAGCUAUGUUCGAACGAAAGUAACAGUAGGCUAAAGCUACAGUAUACACCACUGUUCCACAACCUAUGGGUCGUGACCCAAUGUUUGGGUCGCGAAGAAAGUUUGAUGGGUCGCACAAUCGCUUCAGAUAAAAAAAAAAUUGAUGGUAACAGACGAAAGUGCCGACGAAAGAAUGUCAACAACUGAACACGUCCCAAAAAACUUCUCAAACUCGGGGGUCAUCUAAAUAUGCGGAUCGUAGUAUGUGCGAUAAUUAUGGCUCAUAUCUCAAGUCCAAAUAUCGGAACAGACUGCAUUAAUGUUCUGUCGAUAUCGAAAAGUAAAAUAUCGCACAAACGGGCCUAGGUAGGCCUACUGUAUUAAAUUUGAUGAUGAUUUUAGGUGUGAUACACGUCAUUGUACAAUGUACACUUAUUUUCAGAUUUUAAUCCCCAAAAGGGUUAUUCUGUUUCUAAAGAUGGUACAGAAUAACUUUCUUUGGUGUCAACAAGAGUUCUUGAAGAUAACACUACGUAAGAAUCGUUUUAUGUUCCGAUAAAUACUGCUAUUCCUAUUCAAAUAAAGAUUUAAUACUUGUCAGUCAUUUAAUUAUCUGUGUAAAGGUGUUUUAAAAAAAAUAAUACAUAAAUAAAAUUACUGAAAAGAAUCAAGUGCGUUAUUUCCAGCGUGAAAACUGAUAUCUCUUGCACGUGGUAAAAAUGUUAAUGGACGUCCUCGAACGUCCAUACGUUUUACUCUUAAAUGACUUCUCUUUAAAUUAAAAGACAAAAUUAUUAAAUACGGUAAUAUAAGGAAACAAUGCACUAAACGUAACGACUAAAAGCAGGCAAACCUGACCAAAAUAAUAACAUCAUAUUUGUUAUUUUGGCCGAGAUUUUUCAAGAUAAUUUGACCCGAUUUCGAUGGGUCGCGGCUGAGUGUUAAAUAUUUGGAUUUGGGCGGGUCGCGGAAGGUUGCAGAACGGUGACACAAUAUCUAGGCCUACGUUUUAACUGUUUACUAAACAAAAGGGGAAAAAUGAUAUUUUUUUUUUCUUAAAUUUUUUUCCAAUACCAUAGAAGACACGAGGGUGAGGGUUAUAAACUAAUCAUUUUUUUAAUUGGACCUUAGUUUUACAGGUGUGAAUUCAGCUAAGUAAAACUCGUCGGCUAGCUAGUAGUAUUAGUAGCCUAGAUCCGGAGGUGACGGAACUACGGGUGCUGCUUCAUGGAGUAAUGUGUGACCAGAAAUGGUCCAGUCAGUUGGAUGUUACAUGCGCCAGUGAUGUUGGAGUACAGCAACAUGAAACUAUUUAUGUAAUGCAUGAAUAAAGUUCGGGGUUUGCAUGACGUAUAAAUGUUAACUAUAUUCUAGGUAAAGGAAAAGGAAGCCGUGCACCAUUACCGCCUAUCAGAAAUGAUGGAAAUAUCGAUGUCAUGCUAUCUGCAGUUUUUAAAUGUUCUUUUUUUAUUGCUUUUAAUAUUGUGUGUUUCCGUCCAAUUUUAUUAACUUUUAAACCACAUUUCAAAGAGACAACAAACAACAUCUUAACAUUUUUAGCACUUUUAAAGUAUCUUAGCAUUCUGUUUUUAAUUGGUCCAGCAAAUCUUGAUUUUUAAAUGAUCUUUUCUGUUUAAUGUUUGUAAUUGUUUUGUAUCGCAUGCACCUCAGAGCUGUAAUGAGGUGCCACUUUUAAAAAAGUGCAGCUUAAUAAAUUAUUAUAUGAUUAUUCUAGCUUAUUUUUGUUUGUUUUUUUGUUUGCUUGCUUGCUUGCUUAUUUAUUUAUUUAUUCAUUCAUUCAUUCAUUCAUUCAUUUCAUUUAUUUAUUAUGAUUUAUUUAUUUAUUUAAAUUAUCUUGGCAACAAGAACACUUCAAAAUACAUAUGUGAAAACAUUGCCAAUAAAGGGAACAGCUAACAGGUGAAUACACCUCUGAAAGAGCCAAUCCCCUUACUGCACAUAGCAGGUAAACUGAAUGAAAAAAACUCUAAAUCAAUAUAAUAAAUAGCAAAAAAAACAACAUGUAGGCCUAUUAGUCGCCGUUUGCUUAUAUUUAAAAAAAAAAGCAAAUAACAGAUUAGCAGAUUGCACUUCUAAGUAAUCACAGUUAACCACGUAGUAUCAUCUUGCACAGGCCUACAUUACAGCAUUUCAUAGUGAAUGAUUUCACUUUUAAUUGUCUUGCAAUCGACCUAAACUUUGGUGAAUGCCUGUGAGGUUUGGGCGAUUAGCCCUCUAGGUUAAAAUGUGGACCUACCGUAUUUCAUGUAGAUAAACUGAAUAGUGGACCAUUUUACAAAAAAAUUAGGACCCAUUUUAAUGCGUAAAUCUAACUAAUAUGGACCCACAUUUUAAAAAGUGGACACAUUUAAACAAUUUUACCUAUUUCCUGCAUAAAAUCUUUUUAAAUGUGGACCCAUUUCAUGCGUAGGCCUACAAACUUAACAAUGUGGACCAUUUUAGAACCCGGACCUAUUAUACAAUGUGGGACCACGUUUUAAAAAAGUGGACCCAUUUAAAAAGAUUUACCUGCUUUUAUGUAUAACUGAAGAAAAAUUAAGCGGGACAGUCCCGACUGUUCCAAUGGCUACUACGACAUUGCGUAGACCAACUUGUUAUAGCGCCGUGGCCUGUCUCUUUUAUUUCGUUCACAUCCAAAAGCAGAAAGUACACUCGCCACUUAAUACAGGAUAGAAUGAUGCUUUAUAAACCAAAGUCUUUUAUAUGAGGCUUAGCGAGGUGGAGCUGUUUUUAGUCGUAAGGAAAAAACCCUGCAGUUACAGCGUUCGGACCCAGGAUCCAUAACUUCCAAGUUCAGUGGAGUACUAGGGUGCGCACCUAUCCCCCACCCCACCUACCCUCUCCCCCAAGAUGAAACUCCAGUCGACUUUCCCCAUCGAAGCAAGACACUACGCUCAAUUUUUCGAGCUAGCUCCCCUCCAGUUAAUCAAGGAACCUCACUUCACCUUCGCCUCCACCCCAUCAGCUUCCAUC